CGCAGCCGCGGUAAUUCCAGCUCCAAUAGCGUAUAUUAAAGUUGUUGCAGUUAAAAAGCUCGUAGUUGAAUUUCGGGAUCAAAGGAUCGGUCAUGCCUUGGUAUGUACUGGUUUUAUUGGUUCUCACCUUCUAAAGAACCAUAAUGUCAUUCAUUUGAUGUUAUGGGGAAUUAGGACUGUUACCUUGAAAAAAUUAGAGUGUUUAAAGCAGGCUUACGCUUGAAUACAUUAGCAUGGAAUAAUGAAAUAGGACAUCAGAUUCUAUUUUGUUGGUUUCUAGGAUCGAUGUAAUGAUUAAUAGGGAUAGUUGGGGGCAUUAGUAUUCAAUUGUCAGAGGUGAAAUUCUUGGAUUUAUUGAAGACUAACUACUGCGAAAGCAUUUGCCAAGGAUGUUUUCAUUAAUCAAGACGAAAGUUAGGGGAUCGAAGACGAUCAGAUACCGUCGUAGUCUUAACCAUAAACUAUGCCGACUAGGGAUCGGAUGAUGUUAAUUUAUAAUGACUCAUUCGGA
rnacentral:misc_RNA from 1 species